rnacentral:rRNA from 1 species
GACGAACGCUGGCGGCGUGCCUAAUACAUGCAAGUAGAACGCUGAAGGAGGAGCUUGCUUCUCUGGAUGAGUUGCGAACGGGUGAGUAACGCGUAGGUAACCUGCCUGGUAGCGGGGGAUAACUAUUGGAAACGAUAGCUAAUACCGCAUAAGAGUAGAUGUUGCAUGACAUUUGCUUAAAAGGUGCAAUUGCAUCACUACCAGAUGGACCUGCGUUGUAUUAGCUAGUUGGUGAGGUAACGGCUCACCAAGGCGACGAUACAUAGCCGACCUGAGAGGGUGAUCGGCCACACUGGGACUGAGACACGGCCCAGACUCCUACGGGAGGCAGCAGUAGGGAAUCUUCGGCAAUGGACGGAAGUCUGACCGAGCAACGCCGCGUGAGUGAAGAAGGUUUUCGGAUUCGUAAAAGCUCUGUUGUAAAGAGAAAGAAACGAAGUGUG